AUGUGCAGUUGUUUCGUUGCUAUGAGGGUCUGGUGUUCGACGACUUCCCCAUGCGUUCAUCCUAAUGAGACAUUGCAAAUGAUCUUUAAUUUGGUGCAACAUAACUCCCGACAAGCAUCGACGUCUGCCAUUAUCGCGAGCAAGACCCUGAUCCUCCUUCGUCGGCCACUACCGCGAGCAAGAACCUUGAUCCUUCACCUACGGGUUGACGAUUUGCUUCAGAUCACGGAAGCUUGGGUUGAUGGAGUGCUUGUCUUUAGUUUUUGUUUUGACUUUGUGAAACUUGCUACCUGUGAUGAAACUGUGUAA
rnacentral:rRNA from 1 species